AGGGUUUUCUACUUUCACGCUUGC
rnacentral:siRNA from 1 species